UACGUAGGGUGCAAGCGUUAUCCGGAAUUAUUGGGCGUAAAGAGCUCGUAGGCGGUUUGUCGCGUCUGCUGUGAAAACUGGAGGCUCAACCUCCAGCCUGCAGUGGGUACGGGCAGACUAGAGUGCGGUAGGGGAGAUUGGAAUUCCUGGUGUAGCGGUGGAAUGCGCAGAUAUCAGGAGGAACACCGGUGGCGAAGGCGGAUCUCUGGGCCGAUACUGACGCUGAGGAGCGAAAGCGUGGGGAGCGAACAGG
rnacentral:rRNA from 1 species